rnacentral:rRNA from 1 species
AGAGUUUGAUCAUGGCUCAGAUUGAACGCUGGCGGCAUGCUUUACACAUGCAAGUCGAACGGCAGCACGGGGGCAACCCUGGUGGCGAGUGGCGAACGGGUGAGUAAUAUAUCGGAACAUAUCCGGAAGUGGGGGAUAGCUCGGCGAAAGCCGGAUUAAUACCGCAUAUGCCCUGAGGGGGAAAGGAGGGGAUUCGCAAGAACCUUUCGCUUUCGGAGUGGCCGAUAUCGGAUUAGCUAGUUGGUGAGGUAAAGGCUUACCAAGGCGACGAUCCGUAGCUGGUCUGAGAGGACGACCAGCCACACUGGAACUGAGACACGGUCCAGACUCCUACGGGAGGCAGCAGUGGGGAAUUUUGGACAAUGGGGGAAACCCUGAUCCAGCCAUGCCGCGUGAGUGAAGAAGGCCUUCGGGUUGUAAAGCUCUUUCAGACGGAAAGAAACGGUUACGGCCAAUACCCGUGACUAAUGACGGUACCUGCAGAAGAAGCACCGGCUAACUACGUGCCAGCAGCCGCGGUAAUACGUAGGGUGCGAGCGUUAAUCGGAAUUACUGGGCGUAAAGCGUGCGCAGGCGGUUUUGUAAGUCAGAUGUGAAAGCCCCGGGCUCAACCUGGGAAUUGCGUUUGAAACUACAAGACUAGAGUGUGUCAGAGGGGGGUAGAAUUCCACGUGUAGCAGUGAAAUGCGUAGAGAUGUGGAGGAAUACCGAUGGCGAAGGCAGCCCCCUGGGAUAACACUGACGCUCAUGCACGAAAGCGUGGGGAGCAAACAGGAUUAGAUACCCUAGUAGUCC